AUUGAACGCUGGCGGCAUGCCUUACACAUGCGAGUCGAACGGCAGCACGGGGGGUAACCCCAGGUGGCGAGUGGCGAACGGGUGAGUAAUAUAUCGGAACGUGUCCUGUAGCGGGGGAUAACCUAUCGAAAGAUGGACUAAUACCGCAUACGACCUACGGGUGAAAGCGGAGGACCGCAAGGCUUCGCACUAUAGGAGCGGCCGAUAUCGGAUUAGCUAGUUGGCGGGGUAACGGCCCACCAAGGCGACGAUCCGUAGCUGGUCUGAGAGGACGAUCAGCCACACUGGAACUGAGACACGGUCCAGACUCCUACGGGAGGCAGCAGUGGGGAAUUUUGGACAAUGGGCGCAAGCCUGAUCCAGCCAUGCCGCGUGAGUGAAGAAGGCCUUCGGGUUGUAAAGCUCUUUCGGCGGGGACGAAACGGUUCGUGCUAAUACCACGGACUACUGACGGUACCCGCAGAAGAAGCACCGGCUAACUACGUG
rnacentral:rRNA from 1 species